CCGUCGAAGGUGGGACCAGCGAUUGGGACUAAGUCGUAACAAGGUAGCCGUAUCGGAAGGUGCGGCUGGAUCACCUCCUUUCUAAGGAGCA
rnacentral:rRNA from 1 species